rnacentral:pre_miRNA from 1 species
UUUUUCUUUGCUCUUCCUCUCUAAUCCUUUGUUCCUGGGUGAGAGUGAUUUCAAAAUGUAAUACACCCAGGCAAGGAUUCUGAGAGGGUUAGCCUCUUCUGUGUGAAG